UCAGUCGACUCCUACGGGGAGCAGCAGUGGGGGAAUAUUGCACAAUGGGCGCAAGCCUGAUGCAGCCAUGCCGCGUGUAUGAAGAAGGCCUUCGGGUUGUAAAGUACUUUCAGCAGUGAGGAAGGCAGGUACGUUAAUAGCGUGCUUGUUUGACGUUAGCUGCAGAAGAAGCACCGGCUAACUCCGUGCCAGCAGCCGCGGUAAUACGGAGGGUGCGAGCGUUAAUCGGAAUUACUGGGCGUAAAGCGCAUGCAGGUGGUUUGUUAAGUCAGAUGUGAAAGCCCGGGGCGUCAACCUCGGAAUUGCAUUUGAAACUAGGCAGACUAGAGUACUGUAGAGGGGGGUAGGAAUUUCAGGUGUAGCGGUGAAAUGCGUAGAGAUCUGAAGGAAUACCGGUGGCGAAGGCGGCCCCCUGGACAGAUACUGACACUCAGAUGCGAAAGCGUGGGGAGCAAACAGGAUUAGAUACCCUGGUAG
rnacentral:rRNA from 1 species